rnacentral:rRNA from 1 species
GACGAACGCUGGCGGCGUGCCUAAUACAUGCAAGUCGAACGCAGUGGCGGACGGGUGAGUAACACGUGGGUGACCUGCCCUGCACUUCGGGAUAAGCCUGGGAAACUGGGUCUAAUACCGGAUAGUGUGGGAUGGGCCCGCGGCCUAUCAGCUUGUUGGUGGGGUAAUGGCCUACCAAGGCGGCGACGGGUAGCCGGCCUGAGAGGGUGGACGGCCACAUUGGGACUGAGACACGGCCCAGACUCCUACGGGAGGCAGCAGUGGGGAAUAUUGCACAAUGGGCGGAAGCCUGAUGCAGCGACGCCGCGUGGGGGAUGACGGCCUUCGGGUUGUAAACUCCUUUCACCAUCGACGCGGUAGAUGGAGAAGAAGCACCGGCUAACUACGUGCCAGCAGCCGCGGUAAUUC